ACAAUACCGCUUUCAAAACUUGGUCAAGGAUGUAAUGUGCACAGUUAAAAAAGUAGAGGGAUGUUUUUUGCCUAAUUUUAAAGUUUAGAGAUGAAAAAUAGACUUUCAUGUAGCACUUUGGUCAAAAAUAUAGAUUUAAAACUCCAAAAAGAUUAUUAUAUGCUAUGUAUAUAAUAAUUUAAUUUUUCGUCGAGAAUUUACUAUGGAGG
rnacentral:lncRNA from 1 species